rnacentral:rRNA from 1 species
GACGAACGCUGGCGGCGUGCUUAACACAUGCAAGUCGAACGGAAAGGCCCUGCUUUUGUGGGGUGCUCGAGUGGCGAACGGGUGAGUAACACGUGAGUAACCUGCCCUUGACUUUGGGAUAACUUCAGGAAACUGGGGCGAAUACCGGAUAGGAGCUCCUGCUGCAUGGUGGGGGUGGGAAAGUUUCGGCGGUUGGGGAUGGACUCGCGGCUUAUCAGCUUGUUGGUGGGGUAGUGGCUUACCAAGGCUUUGACGGGUAGCCGGCCUGAGAGGGUGACCGGCCACAUUGGGACUGCGAUACGGCCCAGACUCCUGCGGGAGGCAGCAGUGGGGAAUAUUGCACAAUGGGCGGAAGCCUGAUGCAGCAACGCCGCGUGCGGGAUGACGGCCUUCGGGUUGUAAACCGCUUUCGCCUGUGACGAAGCGUGAGUGACGGUAAUGGGUAAAGAAGCACCGGCUAACUACGUG